GACGAACGCUGGCGGCGUGCUUAACACAUGCAAGUCGAACGAUGAAGCCGGAGCUUGCUCUGGUGAAUUAGUGGCGAACGGGUGAGUAACACGCGAGUAACCUGCCCUUGACUCUGGGAUAACUGCUGGAAAUGGUAGCUAAUACCGGAUACGACCCUCGGAGGCAUCUUCAGGGGGUGGAAAGAAUUUCGGUCAAGGAUGGACUCGCGGCCUAUCAGCUAGUUGGUGAAGUAAUGGCUCACCAAGGCGACGACGGGUAGCCGGCCUGAGAGGGUGACCGGCCACACUGGGACUGAGACACGGCCCAGACUCCUACGGGAGGCAGCAGUGGGGAAUAUUGCACAAUGGGCGCAAGCCUGAUGCAGCAACGCCGCGUGAGGGAUGACGGCCUUCGGGUUGUAAACCUCUUUUAGUAGGGAAGAAGCGAAAGUGACGGUACCUGCAGAAAAAGCACCGGCUAACUACGUGCCAGCAGCCGCGGUAA
rnacentral:rRNA from 1 species